rnacentral:rRNA from 1 species
AGUGAACGCUGGCGGUAGGCCUAACACAUGCAAGUCGAACGGCAGCACAGUAAGAGCUUGCUCUUACGGGUGGCGAGUGGCGGACGGGUGAGGAAUACAUCGGAAUCUACUUUUUCGUGGGGGAUAACGUAGGGAAACUUACGCUAAUACCGCAUACGACCUACGGGUGAAAGCAGGGGAUCUUCGGACCUUGCGCGAUUGAAUGAGCCGAUGUCGGAUUAGCUAGUUGGCGGGGUAAAGGCCCACCAAGGCGACGAUCCGUAGCUGGUCUGAGAGGAUGGACAGCCACCCUGGAACCUGGGCACCGGCCCGACCUCCACCGGGAGGAAGAGUUGGGAAUAUUGGGCCAUGGGCGCAAGCCUGAUCCAGCCAUACCGCGUGGGUGAAGAAGGCCUUCGGGUUGUAAAGCCCUUUUGUUGGGAAAGAAAAGCAGCAGGUUAAUACCCCGCUGUUCUGACGGUACCCAAAGAAUAAGCACCGGCUAACUUCGUG